GCGUAUUGCGGUGACGAUGGGUAUUAUACUUUUACGAUGGGUAUACUUUUAGACAGGCUCGACGUUCAAUCGGCUCAAGAAGAAGAAAAAGAAGGCUCAAUGCCCCUUCCAGUUACAUAUGUCUAAGGUUAAUUGUGAUUCAAUGUAUCAAUUGAUACGGCCAAUUUUUAAACUUUACCGCAUCCGAUAAAUCCUCGAAGAACUUACAGCGGCAAUCGCGACGACGCGAAUCGCGAAUGAUGUCAAGCAGAGCAGGUAAAGGACUGUCGUAAAACGAGUUAAGAGAUAUUCAACUAUUGAAAUUAAGUAAGUUUUGUUUAACAAUCUCAAAUGCAUUAUGCGUAUUAUGCGUGAAACGAAAAAAAUGCCGUUUACGCGAAGGAAAUAUCGUAAGUACAGAAGUAACACUUGCGUAAACGUAGUAUGUGACUCUUUUAAGGUAAACAAAUGCCUCGUCAUCUAAUUAGUGACGCGCAUGAAUGGAUUAACGAGAUUUCCACUGUCCCUAUCUAUUAUCUAACGAAACCAGUGCCAAGGAACUUCCUUAUUUAUAUCUAUUAUUUAUUUCAAACUGUAAUAUCCAAUGUACUGAAUAAUGCAAAAGAAAUACUAAAAAUGUUGAUGACAAUGACUGGUUAUAUGACAAACACUAUCUCAAUGGCUGCAUUCGAGGAGCGCGCUAUUAGCGCUAUUGCAUCAUUCUGUCUUUAUCGCUCAUCAGGUGUAAAACAAGGAUAGAACAAGCAAAUAGCGCUAAUAGCGCGCUCCCCGAAUCCAGCCUAUGUGUCAAGAGCUUGUUGCUUCCAAUACUACUGUGAGACUGUCAUCUGCUUCAGCUGGAAAUUUCAAGAAGAAAGAAACUUUAAAGGUGUUAUCGGUUGUAUUGAUUGUACAUAUGUGGCUAUCGUGAGACCAAAAGAACAUGAAGAAGCGUAUGCAAAUCAUAAGGGUUUUAUUCUAUUUAUGUGCAGGCAAUAGCCUCCCAUGAUUUAGAAGUAUUAAACAUAAAUGCCAGAUUUCCUGGAACGGUGCAUGAUGCUUUCAUUUAGAGAUAUUUCGCUAUAAGGGAUAAAAUGAUACGAUUAUAUGAUUUUAGAAGACCGAUCAACGUGGCUGUUGGGUGAUGGAGGUUACUGUUUAGAACCUUGGCUAAUGACACCUAUCACAAAUGCACCAGAGGAAAGCGCAGAAGCACGAUACACAUAAUGUCAUUGUUCUGCUAGAAAUUGUGUUGAACUUCUAUUCAAUUAUGUUAAAGGGUUGUUUCAGUCAUCAGUGGAUUGAGAGAUAUCACUUAAAAAAAAAAAACGCGUAGAUAGUCAUAGACUUCACGCGGGUCGAUCAUCGGUAAGGAGAAUAACUCUAAGCAGAGCCAGCCGAAAAACCAGCUAAGAAGUGCAUUUUUUGCCGAGCUCUGGAUUAGAUCCAACUUUAUACAC